rnacentral:lncRNA from 1 species
AUGAAAACCCAGGGAGUGAAACUCAUCGUGCCCCCCCCCCGGGGCCCCCCAGAAACUCCACCUGGGCCUUCAACACUGGAACCAGCCAAAGUAUCGAGAGGAGACAAAACAAAUGGGAGCUGGCUCAGCCGUGAAGAACGCCUACUGCUCUUCAGAGAAUCCACGUUCCCAGAAACCUUAAGGUACCAAUUCCAGGGGGAUCUGAUGACCUCUACUGAUGUCUAUAGGCACCAGUCACCCAUGUGGUGAACAGGAUGAAAACUCUGGGGAACAUUCUAGCUGCAUGCAAACUACAGCACAGAACAGUUGUGUUCCUGUGAACCGCUGAAGAACAGUUUGAGUAAAAUUUAACCAAGGAGGGGCUUGGGAACGGGAAGCUGGUGAGGUGCUGCACAGCAUGCUAGAGUUACCCUGGCCAAGGUUCAGAGGUUCAGUCCCGUAUCAUCAAGGUGGGAACAUGGCAUCAUCCAGGCAGGAUGAGAUGAAAGUUCUACAUCUUCAUUUGAAGGUUGCUAGCAGAAUACUAGUUACUGGUUGUCCCAGGCAGCUAGGACAACCACAGGGGUCUUAAAGCCCACACCCACAGUGACACACCUACUCCAACAAGACCACACCUUCUAAUAGUGCCACUCCCUGGGCUGAACAAACCAUCACAGGGUCUGUGUUGAUGUCCUUGGCUCAUGUACCACCAAAGGCCAUGCAGAUGUCCCUGAUCUGGGCUACUGCCUGACACCACAUUGAUGUCUGAGCAUUGUGCUGAGCUGGUCACACCCUUUUCCUAGGCAGCACGUGAGAGCUGUCUCUGUCCCUCAUCAGCUGCAGCACUCCAGAGAGCCGGCUCAGCCACUUGUCUACUAUGUGGUGGUGUGGGUGAGGGAGAGAUGCCCUCUCCCCAUCUCAUCCUCACUGCCUGAAGCAGGCAGGAGAGCUGUUCCUGGUCCUCACCAGCUGCCGCACUUGAGAGAGCCGACCCUGCAGCUCUCCUGGGCACACAGCAGAGCUGGCCCUGGUGGCAGGAGCUCAUGUGAACUGGCUUCAAGGGCUCGAGAGAAGAUCCAGAGCUCACCCUGGUGAUAUGGGUGCAGGAGACCUGGAAGGCUGACCACCCAGGCCCAGAUCCAGGGCUUUGAGUUAGCCCACCCCAAGCCCCCAUCUACCCCAUCUAUGAACUGAUACAAUGCAUGAAAGGGGCCAUUUCUGCAGACCCAAAGCUGUAGGAUCUCCAUGACCCAGAGCAACACGGAAUAUCCAAGAGGACUUCCAGUGAGGAUCCAGUAUUGAUAGCAUAGCAGAAGCCAGAGGCCUCCAACCAGACAAAUGACUCAUUGCAAUGAACAUUUGCAAAUAAAGAUGUGUGGACGAAAGGGUGUGCCGUGUGACACACUGUGACAUACGACAGCUUCCACGACAAGAUUUUGUUUUAAUUAUUUUCUUUGUUGAGGGUGGGGUUGCAAAGGUGGGGGGCAGAUACAGAGGGACAGGGAGUGAGUGGGUUUGGGGUGCAUGGUGUGAAAUUCACAAAGAAUCAGUAAAAAGUUUUUGUUUGUUUGUUUGUUUUUUAAAGCAUCCCAGUACAUUUGCCAUGAAAGUUGCUAACACAGAGAGAAUAUUCCUCUUAGGAGAGAUGUUUUAAAUACAACUGCUAAGGCAGCAGGGAGCCAUGUUUGCAUAUGCUAAGCAAACAAGGCCUUUCUCUCACCCUGCUUCUCUAAGAAUUUCCCAAGAAGCCUCAUUUACAGUAAAUACCUGUCCUAGCCCCUUUGUGUAAUUCCUGCAGUGUACGGUUCUACCUUGUCAGACAGCAGUCCUAAGGAAGGCACCUCAAGGGCCGUCUUAUAAUCACACAUACUGAAAAGGGUGAAAAAGAGAUUAAAAAAGAAAAAGAAAAUUCUAACUAAUCCCUUGAGAUGUGCUUCAAAAACUACCAAAAUCAUAUGCUUGGCUACUGUAUAAAGACACACAGGCUAGUCUCUUAAGGAGCCCACACCCACACUUGGGUGUGUGCCUUGAUAUUUUUUCUGAAUACUAUAGUUCUAUUAAAACUUUUGCCUGAAUUUAUAUUAAAAUAGCUUCCUAAGUCUGC